rnacentral:rRNA from 1 species
UACGUAGGGGGCAAGCGUUGUCCGGAAUCAUUGGGCGUAAAGAGCGCGUAGGCGGCCCGAUAAGUCCGCUGUGAAAGUCCAGGGCUCAACCCUGGGAUGCCGGUGGAUACUGUCGGGCUCGAAUCCGGAAGAGGUGAGUGGAAUUCCUGGUGUAGCGGUGAAAUGCGCAGAUAUCAGGAGGAACACCAAUGGCGAAGGCAGCUCGCUGGGACGGUAUUGACGCUGAGACGCGAAAGCGUGGGGAGCAAACAGG